CGCGAACGCUGGCGGCGUGCCUAACACAUGCAAGUCGUGCGCAGGCUCGCUCCCUUUUGGGAGCGGGUGCUGAGCGGCAAACGGGUGAGUAACACGUGGGUAACCUACCCCCAGGAGGGGGAUAACCCCGGGAAACCGGGGCUAAUACCCCAUAAUGCCACCCGCCACUAAGGCGUGGUGGCCAAAGGGGGCCUCUGGCCUUUGGCCAUGCUCCCGCCUGGGGAUGGGCCCGCGGCCCAUCAGGUAGUUGGUGGGGUAACGGCCCACCAAGCCUAUGACGGGUAGCCGGCCUGAGAGGGUGGCCGGCCACAGCGGGACUGAGACACGGCCCGCACCCCUACGGGGGGCAGCAGUGGGGAAUCGUGGGCAAUGGGCGAAAGCCUGACCCCGCGACGCCGCGUGGGGGAAGAAGCCCUGCGGGGUGUAAACCCCUGUCGGGGGGGACGAAGCGGCUAUGGGUUAAUAGCCCAUAGUCGUGACGGUACCCCCAGAGGAAGGGACGGCUAACUACGUGCCAGCAGCCGCGGUAAUACGUAGGUCCCGAGCGUUGCGCGAAGUCACUGGGCGUAAAGCGUCCGCAGCCGGUCGGGUAAGCGGGAUGUCAAAGCCCACGGCUCAACCGUGGAAUGGCAUCCCGAACUGCCCGACUUGAGGCACGCCCGGGCAGGCGGAAUUCCCGGGGUAGCGGUGAAAUGCGUAGAUCUCGGGAGGAACACCGAAGGGGAAGCCAGCCUGCUGGGGCUGUCCUGACGGUCAGGGACGAAAGCCGGGGGAGCAAACCGGAUUAGAUACCCGGGUAGUCCCGGCCGUAAACCAUGGGCGCUAGGGCUUGUCCCUUUGGGGCAGGCUCGCAGCUAACGCGUUAAGCGCCCCGCCUGGGGAGUACGGGCGCAAGCCUGAAACUCAAAGGAAUUGGCGGGGGCCCGCACAACCGGUGGAGCGUCUGGUUCAAUUCGAUGCUAACCGAAGAACCUUACCCGGGCUUGACAUGCUGGGGAGA
rnacentral:rRNA from 1 species